rnacentral:rRNA from 1 species
GACGAACGCUGGCGGCGUGCCUAAUACAUGCAAGUAGAACGCUGAAGAGAGGAGCUUGCUCUUCUUGGAUGAGUUGCGAACGGGUGAGUAACGCGUAGGUAACCUGCCUUGUAGCGGGGGAUAACUAUUGGAAACGAUAGCUAAUACCGCAUAACAAUGGAUGACCCAUGUCAUUUAUUUGAAAGGGGCAAAUGCUCCACUACAAGAUGGACCUGCGUUGUAUUAGCUAGUAGGUGAGGUAACGGCUCACCCAGGCGACGAUACAUAGCCGACCUGAGAGGGUGAUCGGCCACACUGGGACUGAGACACGGCCCAGACUCCUACGGGAGGCAGCAGUAGGGAAUCUUCGGCAAUGGGGGCAACCCUGACCGAGCAACGCCGCGUGAGUGAAGAAGGUUUUCGGAUCGUAAAGCUCUGUUGUAAGUCAAGAACGAGUGUGAGAGUGGAAAGUUCACACUGUGACGGUAGCUUACCAGAAAGGGACGGCUAACUACGUGCCUGCAGCCGCGGUAACACGUAGGUCCCGAGCGUUGUCCGGAUUUAUUGGGCGUAAAGCGAGCGCAGGCGGUUUGAUAAGUCUGAAGUUAAAGGCUGUGGCUCAACCAUAGUUCGCUUUGGAAACUGUCAAACUUGAGUGCAGAAGGGGAGAGUGGAAUUCCAUGUGUAGCGGUGAAAUGCGUAGAUAUAUGGAGGAACACCGGUGGCGAAAGCGGCUCUCUGGUCUGUAACUGACGCUGAGGCUCGAAAGCGUGGGGAGCGAACAGG